CGCACGGGUGCGUAACGCGUAUGCAAUCUACCUUUUACAGAGGGAUAGCCCAGAGAAAUUUGGAUUAAUACCUCAUAGCAUUAUGAAGUGGCAUCACUUUAUAAUUAAAGUCACAACGGUAAAAGAUGAGCAUGCGUCCCAUUAGCUUGUUGGUAAGGUAACGGCUUACCAAGGCAACGAUGGGUAGGGGUCCUGAGAGGGAGAUCCCCCACACUGGUACUGAGACACGGACCAGACUCCUACGGGAGGCAGCAGUGAGGAAUAUUGGUCAAUGGGCGCAAGCCUGAACCAGCCAUGCCGCGUGCAGGAUGAAGCAUCUAUGGUGUGUAAACUGCUUUUGUACGAGAAGAAACACUCCUUCGUGAAGGAGCUUGACGGUAUCGUAAGAAUAAGGACCGGCUAACUCCGUGCCAGCAGCCGCGGUAAUACGGAGGGUCCAAGCGUUAUCCGGAAUCAUUGGGUUUAAAGGGUCCGUAGGCGGUUUUGUAAGUCAGUGGUGAAAGCCCAUCGCUCAACGGUGGAACGGCCAUUGAUACUGCAAGACUUGAAUUAUUGGGAAGCAACUAGAAUAUGUAGUGUAGCGGUGAAAUGCUUAGAUAUUACAUGGAAUACCAAUUGCGAAGGCAGGUUGCUACCAAUACGUUGACGCUGAUGGACGAAAGCGUGGGGAGCGAACAGGAUUAGAUACCCUGGUAGUCCACGCCGUAAACGAUGGAUACUAGCUGUUCGGAGCAAUCUGAGUGGCUAAGCGAAAGUGAU
rnacentral:rRNA from 1 species